AGCUUCAGUAGCGUAUAUUAAAGUUGUUGCAGUUAAAAAGCUCGUAGUCGCAUUUCUGGCGAGAGGAUCCGGUCCGACCUUUUGGUGGGUUCUUGGGUCUCUUUCGCCAUCCUUGAGUGGUCCGUUCUGGCAUUAGGUUGUCGGAGCGUCAGCCGCUCAUCGUUUACUGUGAGAAAAUUAGAGUGUUCAAAGCAGGCUUAUGCCGUUGAAUAUAUUAGCAUGGAAUAAUAAGAUAGGACCUCGGUACUAUUUUGUUUGUUUGCGCACCAAGGUAAUGAUUAACAGGGACAGUUGGGGGUAUUUGUAUUUCGUUGUCAGAGGUGAAAUUCUUAGAUUUACGAAAGACAAACUACUGCGAAAGCAUUUACCAAGGAUGUUUUCA
rnacentral:rRNA from 1 species